UACGUAGGGUGCGAGCGUUAAUCGGAAUUACUGGGCGUAAAGCGUGCGCAGGCGGUUGUGCAAGACAGAUGUGAAAUCCCCGGGCUUAACCUGGGAAUUGCAUUUGUGACUGCACGGCUAGAGUGUGUCAGAGGGGGGGUAGAAUUCCACGUGUAGCAGUGAAAUGCGUAGAGAUGUGGAGGAAUACCGAUGGCGAAGGCAGCCCCCCUGGGAUAACACUGACGCUCAUGCACGAAAGCGUGGGGAGCAAACAGG
rnacentral:rRNA from 1 species